GAUGAACGCUGGCGGCGUGCCUAAUACAUGCAAGUCGAGCGAACGGACGAGAAGCUUGCUUCUCUGAUGUUAGCGGCGGACGGGUGAGUAACACGUGGAUAACCUACCUAUAAGACUGGGAUAACUUCGGGAAACCGGAGCUAAUACCGGAUAAUAUUUUGAACCGCAUGGUUCAAAAGUGAAAGACGGUCUUGCUGUCACUUAUAGAUGGAUCCGCGCUGCAUUAGCUAGUUGGUAAGGUAACGGCUUACCAAGGCAACGAUGCAUAGCCGACCUGAGAGGGUGAUCGGCCACACUGGAACUGAGACACGGUCCAGAGGCCUACGGUAGGCAGCAGUAGGGAAUCGUCCGCAAUGGGCGAGAGCAUGACGGAGCAACGCCGCGUGAGUGAUGGAGGUCUUCGGAUCGUAAAACUCUGUUAUUAGGGAAGAACAUAUGUGUAAGUAACUGUGCACAGCUUGACGGUACCUAAUCAGAAAGCCACGGCUAACUACGUG
rnacentral:rRNA from 1 species